CGGACGGGUGAGUAACGCGUGGGUAACCUGCCUUGUACAGGGGGAUAACGGUUGGAAACGGCUGCUAAUACCGCAUAAGCGCACGGCAUCGCAUGAUGCAGUGUGAAAAACUCCGGUGGUAUAAGAUGGACCCGCGUUGGAUUAGCUAGUUGGUGAGGUAACGGCCCACCAAGGCGACGAUCCAUAGCCGACCUGAGAGGGUGACCGGCCACAUUGGGACUGAGACACGGCCCAA
rnacentral:rRNA from 1 species